GUGUGCUCUGCCCAGAGGCGUGUAGCCUGAACUGUGCUGGGCCAAGCCUCAUGGGGCUCUUUGACCCUGAGGAAGGGGAGCUUUUUGUGAUCACUCCCUUUAUCUAUUCGGUCCUUCAGCAGCGGGGCGCCUUUUUCUAAUCAGCGGAGGCACCCGUACUCAGCCAGUAGUAGCCCCAGGCCUCAUCACCUGUGGGAUACAAGCCAUGCUCUCUCCCAGGCUUGCUUCGGCCAACAUCUCUAUUUUCAUUUCUGUCUCUCCUCACACUUGGACCCCUGGCCUUUAGUCAUCUCCACCUGCAGUAUUUAAAGUGCCCAGCAGGUGUCAGGCUUGAGUGUCUUUUCACAGAUGCUCCCUGUGCAGUUAAUGCGCCUCCUACUCCAACUCUGCAUAGCCUCAUCUUUCUAGAUUGUACUUCAGGGUUAUCAUGAAGCCGUCACUUAGAUAUAACUUUUUGCCUCCAUAGGAACCUCUUUGCAUAAAGGUUAUGGUCCUUUAUCUCAUGUGAUUGAAAUUUUGAGUUUAUAUAUCUCCCUCCUUCAUGAAGGCUUUAAGGGCAGGAGUCGUUUCUAAUCCUUAGCACAGAGCAGACGCUUUUUUUUUAUUUAGUUGCUUUUUAAUGAUGAUAAAAUAUAUGGUUCAAAUCACUCAUUUUACAAUAAUUUUGGUUUAGGUUGUGACAGAAAUAAAGUUUACGGAAGUCGUGUUCCUGCGAUAAGAAAGAUGUGACCUUCUAGUUGUGUAAAGCUCUUAAACGCUGUGUAAGUGCAUCAGUGCGCUAAGGAACCUGGAGCUAAAUGGGCUAGUUCUGAGAGAGAGAGACUUAACUGUGUUAACAAAGGGAUUGAAUAAAUCGGCCACUUUGGUGCACCUGUGUUCUGCGAAUCAUCCACUUGGAGAUGGAGGUUUAGCAAUUAUUUGUCAAGGUGUAAAGAACUCUGUCACUCUUAAGACAGUAAACUUCACGGGGUGUAAUCUGACAUGGCAGAGAGCAGAUCACAUGGCCAUGAUCUUAAAGGUGAUUUUUUUAUGUUUGAACUUUCAUGAA